rnacentral:tRNA from 1 species
AGUUCUGUGGCUUAGUAGGUUAAAGUAUCGGUCUAACGAAUACGAAGCCAUGGGUUCGAAUCCCACCAAUACCG